GACGAACGCUGGCGGCAGGCCUAACACAUGCAAGUCGAGCGAGACCUUCGGGUCUAGCGGCGGACGGGUUAGUAACGCGUGGGAACGUGCCCUUCUCUGCGGAAUAGCCACUGGAAACGGUGAGUAAUACCGCAUACGCCCUUCGGGGGAAAGAUUUAUCGGAGAAGGAUCGGCCCGCGUUAGAUUAGACAGUUGGUGGGUAACGGCCUACCAAGUCUACGAUCUAUAGCUGGUUUUAGAGGAUGAUCAGCAACACUGGGACUGAGACACGGCCCAGACUCCUACGGGAGGCAGCAGUGGGGAAUCUUAGACAAUGGGCGCAAGCCUGAUCUAGCCAUGCCGCGUGUGUGAUGAAGGUCUUAGGAUCGUAAAGCACUUUCGCCAGGGAUGAUAAUGACAGUACCUGGUAAAGAAACCCCGGCUAACUCCGUG
rnacentral:rRNA from 1 species